AGGCCCGUAGCUCAGCCCGGAUAGAGCGCCCGGACACCGUUCCUCACCCCACGCCCGCAUCGCCCGGACGCGGGCCGGAAGACGAAGGUUAUCGGGAUCCGAGGGGUGCGGGUGCGAGUCCCGCCGGGCCGU
rnacentral:tRNA from 1 species